AUCAUCCACAAUCCUCAACAAAAGGCACCAGAUCCUAUCUGAUCUUGGAAGCUAAGCAGAGGUCAGCCUAGGUUAGUAUUUGAAUGGGAGACAACCAACAAAGACCAGGUGUGGAAGGUU
rnacentral:rRNA from 1 species